UUCUCUCUGGCGACAUCUGAUAAAAUUGGAGCGAUGCGAUUAGCAGGGUCCCUGGGCAAGGCUGACACGCACACAAAUUGAGAAGUGGUCCAAGUUUUU